ACGGGUGAGUAAUACAUCGGAACGUGCCCAAUCGUGGGGGAUAACGCAGCGAAAGCUGUGCUAAUACCGCAUACGAUCUACGGAUGAAAGCAGGGGAUCGCAAGACCUUGCGCGAAUGGAGCGGCCGAUGGCAGAUUAGGUAGUUGGUGAGGUAAAGGCUCACCAAGCCUUCGAUCUGUAGCUGGUCUGAGAGGACGACCAGCCACACUGGGACUGAGACACGGCCCAGACUCCUACGGGAGGCAGCAGUGGGGAAUUUUGGACAAUGGGCGAAAGCCUGAUCCAGCCAUGCCGCGUGCAGGAUGAAGGCCUUCGGGUUGUAAACUGCUUUUGUACGGAACGAAACGGCCUUUUCUAAUAAAGAGGGCUAAUGACGGUACCGUAAGAAUAAGCACCGGCUAACUACGUGCCAGCAGCCGCGGUAAUACGUAGGGUGCAAGCGUUAAUCGGAAUUACUGGGCGUAAAGCGUGCGCAGGCGGUUAUGUAAGACAGUUGUGAAAUCCCCGGGCUCAACCUGGGAACUGCAUCUGUGACUGCAUAGCUAGAGUACGGUAGAGGGGGAUGGAAUUCCGCGUGUAGCAGU
rnacentral:rRNA from 11 species